rnacentral:lncRNA from 1 species
AUGAGGGCAGAAUUUGACCCAUUAUUAUACUCUCAGGAACAGAGGCGAGCCCAAGGAUGGAAGCCUCAAGGCAUUGAGUCUGAACGGGACUUACUGGUUGAGAGCCAUGCCUGCCUGGUAAAGGACCUUGUGAAGGGAACUCCUAAUAUUGAGAGCUGCUGGAGAGGAAACCUGCCACAACAGCUGGGGAAGAAACCGUGUCAGUCGCAGCAAGCCCACAUGGACCCUAGUCUUCAUUGCAGAAUGGACCACAUGCCAGUGGGGGGCGCAUCGACCCCUGGUUGGACAGCCCACCCUGGCUGCUGCAGGGAUUACUCAGGAAAUCAGCCCUGCCUCGUUUCUGUACCAGGUGAAGAAUACAGCGGCUUCUUAUCCUGCUUAGGUUUUCUUCCGGCAUGA